rnacentral:piRNA from 1 species
UCCUAAUCCUGUGCUCUGGAGCGGAGAGCC